rnacentral:rRNA from 1 species
GGGGAUAACUACUGGAAACGGUAGCUAAUACCGCAUAACGUCGCAAGACCAAAGAGGGGGACCUUCGGGCCUCUUGCCAUCGGAUGUGCCCAGAUGGGAUUAGCUUGUUGGUGGGGUAACGGCUCACCAAGGCGACGAUCCCUAGCUGGUCUGAGAGGAUGACCAGCCACACUGGAACUGAGACACGGUCCAGACUCCUACGGGAGGCAGCAGUGGGGAAUAUUGCACAAUGGGCGCAAGCCUGAUGCAGCCAUGCCGCGUGUAUGAAGAAGGCCUUCGGGUUGUAAAGUACUUUCAGCGGGGAGGAAGGGAGUAAAGUUAAUACCUUUGCUCAUUGACGUUACCCGCAGAAGAAGCACCGGCUAACUCCGUGCCAGCAGCCGCGGUAAUACGGAGGGUGCAAGCGUUAAUCGGAAUUACUGGGCGUAAAGCGCACGCAGGCGGUUUGUUAAGUCAGAUGUGAAAUCCCCGGGCUCAACCUGGGAACUGCAUCUGAUACUGGCAAGCUUAAGUCUCGUAGAGGGGGGUAGAAUUCCAGGUGUAGCGGUGAAAUGCGUAGAGAUCUGGAGGAAUACCGGUGGCGAAGGCGGCCCCCUGGACGAAGACUGACGCUCAGGUGCGAAAGCGUGGGGAGCAAACAGGAUUAGAUACCCU